UUACGGCCAUAUCACGUUGAAACACCCCUUCUCAUGAGAUCACUGUAGUUAAACAUCGUCGAACCUCGUCAAUUCCUAGAUGAGUAACCGCUUGGGAAUACCAGGUGCUGUAUG